AGCAUAGGACUUCGGUUCUGAUGGCGACCGGCGCACGGGUGAGUAACGCGUACACUACCUACCUUUAACAGAGGGAUAGCCCUGGGAAACUGGGAUUAAUACCACAUAGUAUUGCAUAUUUUAUUUUUAUGCAAUUAAAGCUCCGGCGGUUAAAGAUGGGUGUGCGUUAGAUUAGCUAGUUGGUAAGGUAAUGGCUUACCAAGGCUACGAUCUAUAGGGGGCGUGAGAGCGUGGACCCCCACACGGGUACUGAGACACGGACCCGACUCCUACGGGAGGCAGCAGUAAGGAAUAUUGGACAAUGGGCGCAAGCCUGAUCCAGCCAUCCCGCGUGAAGGAUGACGGCCCUAUGGGUUGUAAACUUCUUUUAUUAGGGAAGAAACCUUUUCAUUUAUGAAGAGCUGACGGUACCUAAAGAAUAAGCACCGGCUAACUCCGUGCCAGCAGCCGCGGUAAUACGGAGGGUGCAAGCGUUAUCCGGAAUCACUGGGUUUAAAGGGUGCGUAGGCGGAUAAAUAAGU
rnacentral:rRNA from 1 species